rnacentral:ncRNA from 1 species
AAAAUAUUUUAUUCAAGUAUGAAAAUUUUAUUUAUUUACAGAAAAUAUAUAAAUUUUAUUGGGUUAAUUAAUUUUAAAUAAAAAUAUUUUUAUCCUCAGUUUUUAAUAUUAAUUUUUUUAAUAAUUUAAGUUUUAGUGAUAAAUAAUAUUUAUAACAAAAAUUGUGCCAGCAGUUGCGGUUACACAAUUAUAGAAAUGAAAUUUUAUUGGUUUUUAUUAAGAAUUGUUUUAUUUAAUGAAAUUUAAAAUUAUUAGGUGAAAUUAUUAAUUUAAAUUUUUUUAUUAUUUUUAAAUAAGAAGGCUUGUUUAUUAAACUAGGAUUAGAUACCCUAUUAUUUAAGCUUUAAAAAUAUACCAAAUUAUUAAUAGUUAAGGUCUUAAAAUUUAAAGAAUUUGGCGGUAAUUUAUCUAUUCAGAGGAACCUGUCCUGUAAUUGAUAAUCCACAAUUAUUUUUACUUUAUUUUAUCUUAUAUACCUCUAUCAUGAAUGUCUUAUUAAAGUGAUUUUCUUAAUUUUUUUUAAAAAAAAUGUUAGGUCAAGGUUUAGAAAUAUUAAAGUAGAGAUGGGUUACAUUAUUAUUAUAUGGGGAUAAUUUUUUUGAAAGAUUUUUUAAUUUGGAUUUGGUUGUAAAUUAUUUUAUAUAAUAUAAUUGAUAAAAGUUCUAUAUUAUGCACAUAUCGCCCGUCGCUCUCAUUAUUAUUGAGAUAAGUCGUAACAAAGUAGAUUUAUCGGAAGAUAAAUCUAGAUUG